rnacentral:rRNA from 1 species
UGGGGAAUAUUGCACAAUGGGCGMAAGCCUGAUGCAGCGACGCCGCGUGAGGGAUGACGGCCUUCGGGUUGUAAACCUCUUUCAGCAGGGAAGAAGCGCAAGUGACGGUACCUGCAGAAGAAGCRCCGGCUAACUACGUGCCAGCAGCCGCGGUAAUACGUAGGGYGCRAGCGUUGUCCGGAAUUAUUGGGCGUAAAGAGCUCGUAGGCGGCUUGUCGCGUCGGAUGUGAAAGCCCGGGGCUUAACYCCGGGUCUGCAUUCGAUACGGGCAGGCUAGAGUKYGGUAGGGGAGAUCGGAAUUCCUGGUGUAGCGGUGAAAUGCGCAGAUAUCAGGAGGAACACCGGUGGCGAAGGCGGAUCUCUGGGCCRWUACUGACGCUGAGGAGCGAAAGCGUGGGGAGCGAACAGGAUUAGAUACCCUGGUAGUCCACGCCGUAAACGKUGGGAACUAGGUGUGGGCGACAUUCCACGUCGUCSGUGCCGCAGCUAACGCAUUAA